GACGAACGCUGGCGGCGUGCUUAACACAUGCAAGUCGAACGGAAAGGCCCUGCUUUUGUGGUGUGCUCGAGUGGCGAACGGGUGAGUAACACGUGAGUAACCUGCCCUUGACUUUGGGAUAACUUCAGGAAACUGGGGCUAAUAUCGGAUAGGAGCCCCUGCUGCAUGGUGGGGGUUGGAAAGUUUCGGCGGUAGGGGAUGGACUCGCGGCUUAUCAGCUUGUUGGUGGGGGAGUGGCUUACCCAGGCUUUGACGGGUAGCCGGCCUGAGAGGGUGACCGGCCACAUUGGUACUGAGAUACGGCCCAGACUCCAACGGGAGGCAGCAGUGGGGAAUAUUGCACAGUGGGCGGAAGCCUGAUGCAGCAACGCCGCGUGCGGGAUGACGGCCUUCGGGUUGUAAACCGCUUUCGCCUGUGACGAAGCGUGAGUGACGGUAAUGGGUAAAGAAGCACCGGCUAACUACGUG
rnacentral:rRNA from 1 species